GCAUACUAACGUGCAUUAUAGCAAUUUGAAACGAUACAGAGAAGAUUAGCAUGGCCCCUGCACUAAGGAUGAGUAAGUUACUCCAUCAGUAAUGUCUGUCUGAU
rnacentral:snRNA from 1 species